AUCAGCGCCUGCCUGAUGCCAGAGCAGCAACCUGCCCUCAGGUGUAGCCUGGGUACUUGGUGCUGCUUUGAGCGUAUCUGUGAUUCUUAGUGCCUGAGCCCGGCAAAAUGAGAUCACUCCUCCUCUUUCUCAACUCUGCCUCCUGCCUAAGGAUCCUGCUGCUCUUUCUUGUGUAUUAUGCUGUGAUCAGGCUUGCCAGAUCUGAGGCUUCUCCGAGGAAGAGGAGGCCCAGAAAGACAAAAAAGAAAGCGAAAGCUUUUGGACGC